rnacentral:lncRNA from 1 species
AUGUGGCCAGGGAGGGCUGAGCGGGCAGGUGCCGCAGCCAGGGGUUCCCGUGAGGCCAGUGAAGGGGCUCAGACACCAUGGGGGAAAGGAAGCCAUGAAGAGUGUUCAACAGAGUUCCUUCCAGGAUUCAAGGAAAUAACACCUACAUACUAUAGUGUUUGCCACAUAGGAGGUGCUCAAAGGGUGGCUGCAACUGUUACUGUCACUGUUAUUAUUAUUAGUACUGCUACUGCUGCUGCUGAGGCUCUACUGCUGCUGUGGCUACUGCACUGCUACUGCUCCCCGAGCUGCUACUGCCACCAAUGCACCACAACUGCUGCUGCUGCUACUACUCCUGCCACAGCUACUGGAACCACUGCUGCUACUACUCCUACCACCAUAACUGCAACCACUGCUGCUACUCCUACCACUACAACUGCAACCACUGCUACUCCUACCACUACAACUGCAACCACUGCUACUACUCCUACCACUACAACUGCAACCACUGCUACUCCUACCACUACAACUGCAACCACUGCUACUACUCCUACCACUACAACUGCAACCACUGCUACUCCUACCACUACAACUGCAACCACUGCUACUCCUACCACUACAACUGCAACCACUGCUACUCCUACCACUACUGCAACCACUGCUACUCCUACCACUACAACUGCAACCACUGCUACUCCUACCACUACUGCAACCACUGCUACUCCUACCACUACAACUGCAACCACUGCUACUCCUACCACUACAACUGCAACCACUGCUACUCCUACCACUACAACUGCAACCACUGCUACUCCUACCACUACAACUGCAACCACUGCUACUCCUACCACUACAACUGCAACCACUGCUACUCCUACCACUACUACUGCAACCACUGCUACUCCUACCACUACUGCAACCACUGCUACUCCUACCACUACUGCAACCACUGCUACUCCUACCACUACAACUGCAACCACUGCUACUCCUACCACUACAACUGCAACCACUGCUACUCCUACCACUACAACUGCAACCACUGCUACUCCUACCACUACAACUGCAACCACUGCUACUCCUACCACUACUGCAACCACUGCUGCUACUCCUACCACAACUACUGCAACCACUGCUUCCACUGCUCCCCAUCCUGGCCAUGUGUUUCACCCUAAGGUCUUAGCCAAUGCUAUCAACCCUAUCUCAGGGGAUAGGAGGUGGACACCUAUGGUCCCUGUCCACAUGGAGAUGCAGUAUGUAAAUGUUUGCAGGACAGGUACUCAAGAGUCACCAAAACCCCACACUCCCAGAAUGAAUCAUUCAUUGAUUAACAUUUAUGCUGGCAGCACUUUUGAAGCUGACGGCCCCCUCCUCCUGCAGUCCAUUCCCUUCACACCCCAGAGCCCAGAAUCCAGAACUCUCUCCACCAGCCCCUCUGCAGUGGCUUCCAUGGGCUCUUACAGGGCAGCAAGUCACAGAAAACCUGGGCUCUGCCAGGCAGGACCACACAGGCAGCUUCAGGACCAGGAUUCCAUUUGUGACUUGGUGAGGCCAUUUCUAACUCUGCGACCCUAA